CUUUUGGAGAGUUUGAUCCUGGCUCAGGACGAACGCUGGCGGCGUGCCUAAUACAUGCAAGUCGAGCGGACCGAAUCGGAGCUUGCUCUUAUUUGGUCAGCGGCGGACGGGUGAGUAACACGUGGGCAACCUGCCCGCAAGACCGGGAUAACUC
rnacentral:ncRNA from 1 species